GGCGGCGUGCUUAACACAUGCAAGUCGAACGGAAAGGCCCUGCUUUUGUGGGGUGCUCGAGUGGCGAACGGGUGAGUAACACGUGAGUAACCUGCCCUUGACUUUGGGAUAACUUCAGGAAACUGGGGCUAAUACCGGAUAGGAGCUCCUGCUGCAUGGUGGGGGUUGGAAAGUUUCGGCGGUUGGGGAUGGACUCGCGGCUUAUCAGCUUGUUGGUGGGGUAGUGGCUUACCAAGGCUUUGACGGGUAGCCGGCCUGAGAGGGUGGCCGGCCACAUUGGGACUGAGAUACGGCCCAGACUCCUACGGGAGGCAGCAGUGGGGAAUAUUGCACAAUGGGCGGAAGCCUGAUGCAGCAACGCCGCGUGCGGGAUGACGGCCUUCGGGUUGUAAACCGCUUUCGCCUGUGACGAANCGUGAGUGACGGUAAUGGGUAAAGAAGCACCGGCUAACUACGUGCCAGCAGCCGCGGUGAUACGUANGGUGCGAGCGU
rnacentral:rRNA from 1 species